AGGGCACCACCAGGAGUGGAGCCUGCGGCUUAUUUUGACUCAACACGGGGAAACUUACCCGGCCUGGACACUGGAAGGAUUGACAGAUUGAGAGCUCUUUCUUGAUUCAGUGGGUGGUGGUGCAUGGCCGUUCUUAGUUGGUGGAGCGAUUUGUCUGGUUAAUUCCGAUAACGAACGAGACUCUAGCCUAUUAAAUAGGCUCUCGGCUUUUAAACGCCGGGAGGACUUCUUAGAGGGACAGGUGGCGGUUCAGCCGCACGAAAGAGAGCAAUAACAGGUCUGUGAUGCCCUUUGUUGUCCGGGGCCGCACGCGCGCUACACUGAAGAGAUCAGCGUGCUUUACGUUCCUGCUCCGACCGGAGUGGGGAACCCAGUGAACCUUCUUCGUGAUUGGGAUAGAAGAUUGUAAUUAUUCUUCUUGAACGAGGAAUUCCCAGUAAAUGCGAGUCAUAAGCUCGCGUUGAUUACGUCCCUGCCCUUUGUACACACCGCCCGUCGCUACUACCGAUUGAACGAUUU
rnacentral:rRNA from 1 species